GGGGUGGGUUUCCGGCCAGGGUCUGUGAUCCCCACAGCAGAUCUCAUGGUAGGGGCAUGUGGCAGAACAUAGCUGCCUACUAUGUGGUGAUAAGGAAGGAGAGAGCCUUAGAAUUCCUUCAUCCUGAGGUGAUGUCUGUUCUUGAUGGUAGGGUUUAUUUAUUGGAUGCUGAAGAAGGGUGAAUCCCAUUUUCACAUUCAUUCUGUUAGUCUGUAUGUUUUUAUUGAGAAAUUGAGACCAUUGAUAUUUAGAGAUAUCAAUGACCAAUUCUAGUUGAUUCCUGUUAUUUAGGUGGUACUGGAUGUAUGUGUAUCUUUUUAUUAGAAAAUUGAAACCAUUAAUACUAAAGUUCUCAAUGAGUACUGUUUAUUUGAUUUUGUUAUUUUAUACUGUUAUGGUAUAGGUCCCAUGUUUUGAUUUACUAGUUUGGGAUUGUUUAUUCCUUGUGUAGUCUUGGAUGUGGUUAGUCUCUUUAGAUUCAGGUUUUACUUCUCAUGCCUUCUGUAUGACUAGAUUUGUAGAUAGAUAUACUUAAAUUUGAUGUUAUUUUGGAAUGUUUUUCUUUUUCCAGCUACUGUGCUAUUUUGUAAUAGGUUUUCUGUAUCUUGAUAAUAGGUUUCUCCACUGGCUCAAUAAGUCAGAUCAAGCCCAAUAGAAAAAGAAAAAAGUUGAGCAAAGCAGCUCCCAGAUGAGUUCUCCAGUCCCAGGAGAAGUCACAUGCCUGAUCUAACGAAGUAAAGUUAUAUAGCCUAUAGGUGAGGGGUAAUGACAUGUGAUAGUCUACAUGUGCUUUAAGAAAAGCUUCUUUGAUUAGGGGUAACGACUACACUUGGGUAUAAGGAUAAGAUUCAUAUUUAUAAGGAUAAGUUCACAUUUACCUAAAAUUAUAUACAUUGCGUAUAAGCAAAUAUAUAUACAUAGGAUAUACAUAAAUAACAAAUGAAUAUGAAGGAAAUUGUGCCUCUUAGGCUGACAAUGCUCUCCACAAGAACAAUACCAGGCACAGGAAAAUUCCUUUUGAAUGCUUGGUCAGGGUAUUCCAGUUAACUCUCAAGACAAUAUAGACUAUUGCUAAUGUUCUUUGCUGCUUCUCAGAAGUUGUGGUGCUGAAGACACCACCACACAGUAGAGACAAAGAGCUCAGAUUAUUUUAACUUAUUCUAACCUGAAAGCCACCUUCCUGCAUUCUAGCUUCCAUGGUACCAUGAAAUACUGUGCAAGCGGCCAUGAGAAAGAAGCAGUUGAUAGUCCUAACCAGCUGUGACAUCUGUGAACCACGACAGCAUGCAUUGUGAUUAGAACUCCUAGGAAAUUUGAGACGAGUUAAAGUUUCAAAGUGGAGAUCUUCUUACAAGGAGAUAAAUGUCCCUUCCAGUUAAGUGUGCAUUUAAUGGUUGCAAUGUCUCCAGCCUCCACUACCAUUACAGAGUUUGCCAGCCUUUUAUAGGCAUUUGAUGGAGACAGAAUUACCAUCAUCUGACCCUUCCACUUUUCUGAUGAGACCUGCAAAGGAGUGAAUACCAGCGUUCUCGGUCAACUCACACAUUCGUGGCAUGGGCAGAUUUGGCAACCAGGAUUUACGAAGACAAGCCUGUGGCACUGACUGCAUUUAUAUAAAGCCGAUGCUUUGUUGAAGGUAGAGAGCCUGUCAGAAAAUGAUAGAAGGCUAACAGUACCUAUAAUGCAUUGUCAGAGGGUUAGAGAUCACAAUGGUGGAGACAGCCCACAGCAGACAUGGUGACUGGAGCUGGAAGCUGAGAACUACCAUCUCAAACCACAAACAGUAAACAGACAUCUUUAACUCGGAAUGGUGAGUGGUUUUUGAAACUCACAGCUGGACCCUAUUAACAUAAUUCCUCCAGCAAGAUUGUACCCCUAAGACUCCUCAAACAGCACCAACAAAUGGGAAUGUCUCAUUCAAACCAUCUUAGGGUCUCUGAUCUCAAACUCAGAUCAACAGGUUUGAUGGGCCUCUAGCCACUUAAAUAGCUCACUGCCCCUUUAUCUGUAAAAGUUUUAUUGUGUUUUGAGGAAAUUAUCAUUUAUAGCUUUGGGGAUACCUUGGGAGCCCUGGGACUAAAUCCUAAUGUGCCUUACCAGUUCUGAAAAGCCUUUAGCUGUCAUGUCUUCAGUGUGGCCACUGUUCUUCCUAGACAUCUGAAGCUCAGGGUAUCUCCUUUUGCUUCUUCACUGUCUCACCUAAGCUUCCACAUUAUUAAUGGUCUCCUUUCUCUCUGGACUUAGUCAUUUCUUUUGGGUAUGGAUGUCUUUAUGACCCUUUCAUUACACAAUGGACUUUGCUUUUUUACAUUUAAUUUUUACAAUUUCAUUUAUGAGUACUGUUUUUUAUGUUUUGUUUUGUUUGCAUAAUUCCCAUGACUUCAUCUCCCUGCUACAACUCUUCCCAUGUUUUCCACUAUGGCCUCUCAAAUUCGCAGACUCUUAUUUAGUUAUAGUUAUACACACACACACACACACACACACACACACACACACACACACACAAUCACACUUCACACACACACACACACAUCACAUUUCACACACAAGUAAAUUUCCUGUUUAGUGUUGAUCACUUUGUACAUUUGUUUAAGACAGACUCGUUGAAAUUGGAUAAACCAUCAGAGGUUUAAUAUCCCUGGAAAAAACUAAUUCUCCCUCUCUCAACAGCCCUCAAUUGACUGUAGCUCUUCACCUGGAGGAGAGCCCCUGUGAACUUUCCCAGAUACUUGUUGACAUGUCAGUCUGGUUUUGAUUGACUUUAAUAUUUAGCCUUUCAGUUCCUUCCUUUUAACAAAUGCCAAGAUUAUAUUAGCUUAAAAUCGCCACCCACAUUUUCUUCAUACAACAUUAAUGUUAAUUUAAGUGAGAGACUCAUGUAAAAAUUUCCUAAUGCUUAUAAUGGUACAGGGGGACACCAACUUCUAGACAGACAAGUUUCUUUAAAAUCUUCAUCUAGCUCUAGGCAGAGUAUUUCCUUUUCACUCACCUUGUCUUUGAAGAUUUGAUACUUUGUGUUCUGUUCUGCAAUCAGGCAUUAACUAUGUAAGUCAUUUUAAUCAAAGCUAAUUUAGUCACUUACCUCCUUGUGUUCGUAAUUUUAUUUUAAUUUGAAAUUCCAUAUUCCUGUCUUUCAUGCUAGAUAGGCUAGGCAUUUCAGAAUAGCUUUGGUAGUAAACUAUACUCUACAAUCGUUGUUGUUUCAAGAGGAGAACCAUUUAGGACUUCUAUCUUGAAAAACUUUGUUUUUGUCAUGGAAGUCAACCUUGAGUCAGAAAAGGUAUUAACCCUUCCUGUAAGAACUCUUUUUAAAGUUUCUGGGAGCAGUAGGAGUUAGGAGUGUUACCUAGGCUACUAAAGUCAUACAGGAUGAGGCAAAGCCUAGUCUUAGAUAAUCAUGGAGGUAUGAUUGGGAACUAAGGCAGAAAAGAAGGCUACCCUGUUGUCUCGGUGUUUUCAUUGCUUUUAUAAAGAUCAUAACACUAAGCAGUUUGAGGAAGAAAGGGUUUAUUUUGCUUACACUUUCACAUCAUAGUUCAGUAUCCAAGGAAGUCAGGGAAAGAGCUCAAAGCAGAAAGUUGGAUGCAGGAGCAGAUGCAGAGGCCGUAGACAUAGAAGAGUGCUCACUAUGAGCUUAUUUACUCACGGCUUGUUCAGUAUGCUCUCUUAUAUCACCCAUGACCACCUGUGCAAGAUAAGUGUCUCCCACAGCAAGCUGGGCCAUCCAGCAUCAAUCUUCAAUCAAGAAAAUGCUCUAGAGACUUGCCUAUGGUCUACUCCUAUGAAAUAAUUUUCAAAUAAGACCCCUUCUCUUCUUACCAGGUAACCCCGACUCAUGUCCAGCUGGCAUAAAAACUAACAAGUAUACCCUGGGCCAAAGAAGCAGGAUGUGUCCAUCUGAGUGAGACUACAUUUAUACUAUAAUGAAAAAGACUUGCAAUCAUUGCCAAUUGAUUAGUUGCUCUGCCCCAGAAUGUACGACUAAAGAGAAUAGGUAUAGAGGGAAGUCAGAUAAUAGGUGACGAGGGUUCUGUCAGGAGAAAUGUGUCCCACAGUACAGUAUAGUGAUGAUAGUUUGUAACAACUCCCCAUUUAUCUUACGCAGUAGUAGAAAGGAGUCCAAAGGCUCCAAACAGGAAGACAUAAUAAGCAUCUGCAACUGCUAAUUAUCUUGAUUUGAUCAUUACAUCUUGCAGAUGUGAGCUAAAUUAUCACGGUUUAUACUGUAGACACGUACAAUUAUUAUGUGUUGGUCAGGAAGAGAAAAUGAAAUUGCAAGUGGAAUGGCAGAUAACACUGGGGACAAAAAAAUGGCAAAUGUCAGAUAAUAUACUUAGAAAAAGUCACCCAGAGGACAACAAACACUGAGAGAUCACCUGAAGAAAAAAAAGAUCUAAAAACAAUAUAGAGACAAGGAACAGAAAAUUAGGAAGGUAGAAAUGAGGUAGAACCCGAGAAAGGAAGGAAGCACACGCGGUGCAAUCAAGUGCAUCUUUGUCUCUUGUUUAGCUGGAAGGUUGGAGAUGCAAGACUCUAUGGAAAUCAUUUCCAGCCCUUGGGCAUGUGCUAAUUACUGCCCGUAGGGAGCCUCUGCGUUUCUUUCUUACUAAUGUUGAACAGGAUACAAAGAUGGCAAGAACACUGUUCCCAUGAUCUGGGAAAUCAACCUUUAUUACUGAUGUUUGCUUGUAAUUUUUUAGGUUUUUGUUGUUGUUGUUGUGGUUGGUGUUUUUGUUUAUUUGCUUGUUUUUUCAA